CUAACAGCCGGUUUUUUUCUUCACACACGUCGUCUGCGAUAAAAUUUGGAUGGUGACAGAAUCUACGGAAAAUUUGAAUCGGAGAUAUGGAGACCAGCAGCGUGGCAGCAGGAGCAAAUUUUGGCCGUGAUGAGGCGUAUACCACCAUCAACAAUGCUGCAAUUGCAGUCACUACCACCACUGCUGCCACCACUAUCAGUGCUGCUGAUGCCACCACCACCAAGUCUGCUUCUGCCACUGCCAUCACCAUUGCCACCGCCACUAUCAAGACCACUCCUGACACAAAGCCCCCAAGUCCUCAACUGACCAGAUAUUGCAGCUGGAGAAGGAUAGACCAGGAACUUCAAAGCCAGGGCUUGUUGGUCUCCUACAAUAAGAAAAAUGCCAAGGGCCCAUCUAAUGAACUUGUAGAAUAUUUGGCCACAGUUGUAGAAAUGCAGAGACUAACAUACUGCCACAGGUGAGGCUUUGUCCGCAGUUCCGGAAAGACAAGCCAUGCCAAAAUCAACGACUGAAGGGUUUGGAGCGCCAGACAAAGAGCCUAGAAAUGUGAUUUAUCCGUACUUCAAUCACAUGAACAGUAGCAGGAGCAAAAACAGCAGCAAACACACAGGAGAUGUAACGACUACAUUGACCAAUACCAACAACUACAGCAGCAUCAACAAUAUCUGCAAAAACCACACUGGCAACCUCAACAACAUCAAGAUGUUCAACAACCACUCCGGGAAUUCAACAAACACAUCAGCAGAAA